CCCUAUUACUCUGCAUUUUGCCUGACGAUUGUACCUAAAUUACACAUCCCUGAACACUAUGGGCAAUUUCGCUUGGUCAAUUCACCUGAUGUGCACGUGUUCUGAAUAAUGGAGAAAACUUACUCACACAUGGGAAGAACGUGCAAACUCCACACAAGCUGUCGUCCGAGGCUGCAACUGAACUUGGUUGUCUCGCGCUGUGAGGAAGCAGUGCGAACAACUUAGACACAAGGCCACUGAAAUAAAAUUGCAUUGAACUAUAAGCAAAUUGGAGGAAAUCAGUCGGCCUACGUGUGAAAUCAGAAGAGACAAAAAAAAAAACUGCAGAUGGUGAAAUCCAAGGCAGACAAGCAGGAGGCUUGGAAAACAAGGGAAGUCCGGCAGCAUCAGGAGGUGAAGAUGUCAAAGUUUCGGGUGUGACAUUCCUUCAGUCCUGGAGAUGGGUAGAAUAAGGUGCCGUUUCCCACAACCUGCAGUCAGAUACGCUGUGGCAAAGAAGAGGCGAAGGAUGGACAUGCUGGAAAACGAAUUACAACAGUCAACAACUAGGAGGUCAGGCCGGCUCCUGCAGGCCAGGCUGAGAUGCUUAGUGAAACGUGGCCCCAGUUUACUCUUGCUCUCGCUGAAGACGAGUAGACCUUAUCCGAACCACUGGAUACAGUAAAUUAGUUUGGAGAGGAGAAGGUGAACAUCAGUUCUACCUGGAAAGACAGUUUGGGAC